ensembl:rRNA 5S_rRNA 5S ribosomal RNA
GUCUACAGCCAUACCACCCUGAACGCGCCCGAUCUCGUCUGAUCUCGGAAGUAAGCAGGGUCGGGCCUGGUUAGUACUUGGAUGGGAGAAAAGCAAAUUUAUUGUUUCCUGGUUUUGAAAGCUACAAGUUGAAAAUC